rnacentral:tRNA from 1 species
GCCCCGCUAGCUCAAUUGGUAGAGCAUCGGAUUCUUAAUCCGAGGGCUGCAGGUUCGACUCCUGCGCGGGGUA